rnacentral:tRNA from 6 species
GCCGAAGUGGUGGAACUGGCAGACACGCUAGAUUCAGAGUCUAGUGGGCGCAAGCUUGUGCGGGUUCGACUCCCGCCUUCGGCACCA